GAUCACAUGCGUCAUCAAGCAGCAACCAGGGCUAUUGACUUCUAUUGGCUAGAAGAAUCAAGAUAUGGCGCUCCUAUUGGUGGAAGAAAUGUCCGUCAUCUAUACGCGCUUGUCUAUUCAAGAUUUUGGCUAGAAGGGAUACAGCUACCUCCACUGGGCAUGCGCACUUCUAUACCGCAUAAUUUUUGUCACGCUGACAACAGUUAAUGACUAUUUUUUAUCAUUGUAAGGUUAGGUUUAGAGUUGGGGUAGGUGUAGGCGUUAGCUAAUGUAAUCUAUUGUAAUUUUAUGGCGAGAUUUUGUAUUACUUCCGGCCGUAGCUGUAUCCCUUCUAGCCACAACUAUACACUGAUCUAUAUUGGCCCUGUUCUAAAUGGCGCACUCCGGUCUUGUGGAUCUCCACCGAGUCCACACUUGGUGACAUCAGGAAGUGCAGACCUAUAGUGCACUAGGCACGAGUCCAUAAGAGUACAUGGGAGUGCAUUUUGGAAGUAAUGCAACUGCUCUGCUGCCAGUUUCAUUUCAAAAUCAAUUCCAACCUUCUAAGGUCGCGGACUUAAAACGAGGACUGUUUUAAGGACGCAGCCUCAAACGUCCACGAAGCGAACUGAAAUGAGACGGUCUAGCCUUUCUAGCUGCGUCACCUGUUCCCACCCACCGCCCCUGUCACCUAGCAACUGUGCCAUCUGCAGGUGAUACGGAGAUGGAGAUGCUUUAUCAUUCCCGUUGCCGGCGGGUGAUGUAUCUUAGGCUGAGACUGGACCAUUACCAGAGGCCAGUAGCUGACGAUUGGCGGGAGCCUAUAUUCAGCUCACCCGAAGAGCCUUCACAGAGCACCUUGCCUGCACGCCCCGGAGCAUUUUCCCAAGACAUUCACACACCCAGCGGACUCAAAGACUCCCCAUGUACAUACCUCACUCGGCACUUUCUGUGUGAAUAAAUCACCCUCCGGGGCCUUUUUUGGACAACUGUGUCGGUUUCGUUGCUCUGCCCACCACACAUCAUAGCCCUAGAUCAGUGUUUCCCAACCGCUGUUCAUUUUCCACGGCACACCGGACAACUUGUCACGGCACACUAGUGUGCCGCGGAAAAUGAAGUGAAAGUGAAAACAAUGUUGGGUCCAAAUGCUGCCAAAGAAAUUGCAAAAGUGCCCGUUUCAAACAAUUCAAUCGCCAGACGCAUUGAUGAUAUGUCCGCUGACAUUGAGAGUGUUGUACUGGAAAAAAUAAAAACUAGCGUCAAAUUUGCACUCCAAAUUGAUGAAUCAACAGACAUAAGUGGGAAUGCUCAGCUAUUAGCAAACGUGCGCUUUGUGGAUGGUGAAAUCAUCAGAGAGAAUUUUUAUUUUUGCAAAGAGUUGCCAUCAAAAACAACAGGAGAGGAUAUAUUUCGAAUGGCAUCCGAUUACAUUGAACAAGGAGGACUAAAAUGGGAAAACUGCGUGAGUGUGUGUACCGACGGAGCAGCAUCCAUGACUGGGAAUACCAAGGGAUUCGUCAGUAGAGUCAAAGAAAAAAAUCCGAAAGUCACGGUCACGCAUUUUUGCACACCUGAAUGAACUGAACACGCGAAUGCAAGGGAGAAAUGAAAAUGUACUAACUAGCACAGACAAACUGCAUGGAUUCAGAUCAAAGCUUGCCCUCUGGCGACAACAUGUAGAAAAAGGCUCUCUUGAGAUGUUUCCCCUUGCCCAAACUGGACAUUCAGACAACUUUGCGGCAUUGUGUGAGGUAAUUUGUAAGCAUCUAUCAACUCUCAAAGAAAAAUUCUCUUUUUAUUUCCCCUUAACAUCACCUGAAGCCUUUGACUGGGUUCGAGACCCAAUUAGCUCAUCUGCAAUGGAUAACACAAAUGGACUGUCGCUGCAGCAACAAGAGCAGCUCACUGAAAUGAGACAGGACCGUGGUUUGAAAAUUACAUUCAGUGACCUACCUUAGGACAGUUUCUGGUUGACUGCUGCCAAAGAGUACCCAGUCAUUGCAGACAGUGCAAUCUCAGUGUUGUUAUCUUUUUCCACAACCUACUUAUGUGAGCUCAGCUUUUCCAGUUUGACUUAUAUAACGAACAAAAAUAGAGAAAGAUUGAGAGCAGUUGACCAAGAGCUCCGUGUGUCGUUGUCGUGUCGAGUAUAUCAUCUUUGUGUUCAUCAAAACAAGCUCAAGUUUCACAUUGACAUCAUAUAAAAAAGGUUGGGAAACACUGCCCUAGAGGAUGAGGAUGAGGGGGACAGUGAUUUGGAGGCAGCCAGUGGUACUGCCUGGUGUGACCGACUGUCUGCAGAGGUGUCUGCCCUGGAGGAGGUGCCCACUGACCAUGACAUUU